CCUUCCGGGCACGGGGCACGUGUUACAGCAGCGGAAGUGUGGCCUUGGCGUGUGUUUCAUCGCUGGGAAGUGUUGGCUCAGCAGCCCGCUGGGUCAGACUUCUGACAGCUGGGCUCUGUUUCCGGCUUAGAAGACACCUUGGGAGACUGAGGGAGCUGACAUCAGGCUGGUCCUAGGCCUCGAAUGUGCUCAGUCACAGCUGCAGCAUGAACUCCUACAGUGAUCCGAUUCCUGGGCCAGCCUCACUAUCACCCAAGCAGAGCUUCUGGGGGAAACACUGGGCAUUUGAAACGGACAUGAGGGCAGAGGCAAUGUGGAGACAUGGUAAUACAGAUUCAAACGGCACAAAAGGAAAUAUACUGAAAAGUUAUUCUCCCUUCCAACCCUGCCCACCAGGACUGCAGUGCCCCUUCCCUGAGCUUCUGAAGAUACCUCUGAUGUCAGUUUCCCGUGCAUCCUUCCAGAGAUGAUAUCCUCUGCAUGUCCAAGCGUGUGUGUGCCUGUACAUGUGUGUUUAUGCACAGGCAUCUUCACUGCGCUUUGACUUCCUUUUUUUAAACAUAAAUAGUUGCAUUCUAUACACAUUCUCUUGCUCCUUGGUUUUCUUUACU